AGCGAACGCUGGCGGCAGGCCUAACACAUGCAAGUCGAGCGGCCGUAGCAAUACGGCAGCGGCAGACGGGAGAGUAACACGUGGGAACGCGCCCUUCGGUUCGGAAUAACUCAGGGAAACUUGGGCUAAUACCGGAUACGCCCUUACGGGGAAAGAUUUAUUGCCGAUGGAACGGCCCGCGUCCGAUUAGCUUGUUGGUGAGGUAACGGCUCACCAAGGCAACGAUCGGUAGCUGGUCCGAGAGGAUGACCAGCCUCACUGGGACUGAGACACGGCCCAGACUCCUACGGGAGGCAGCAGUGGGGAAUAUUGGACAAUGGGCGCAAGCCUGAUCCAGCCAUGCCGCGUGGGUGAUGAAGGCCCUAGGGUUGUAAAGCCCUUUCGGCGGGGAAGAUAAUGACGGUACUCGCAGAAGAAGCCCCGGCUAACUUCGUGCCAGCCGCCGCGGUAAGAC
rnacentral:rRNA from 1 species